rnacentral:rRNA from 1 species
GACGAACGCUGGCGGCGUGCUUAACACAUGCAAGUCGAACGGAAAGGCCCUGCUUUUGUGGGGUGCUCGAGUGGCGAACGGGUGAGUAACACGUGAGUAACCUGCCCUUGACUUUGGGAUAACUUCAGGAAACUGGGGCUAAUACCGGAUAGGAGCUCCUGCUGCAUGGUGGGGGUUGGAAAGUUUCGGCGGUUGGGGAUGGACUCGCGGCUUAUCAGCUUGUUGGUGGGGUAGUGGCUUACCAAGGCUUUGACGGGUAGCCGGCCUGAGAGGGUGACCGGCCACAUUGGGACUGAGAUACGGCCCAGACUCCUACGGGAGGCAGCAGUGGGGAAUAUUGCACAAUGGGCGGAAGCCUGAUGCAGCAACGCCGCGUGCGGGAUGACGGCCUGCGGGUUGUAAACCGCUUGCGCCUGUGACGAAGCGUGAGUGACGGUAAUGGGUAAAGAAGCACCGGCUAACUACGUG